rnacentral:tRNA from 1 species
GCCCCUUUGGCGCAAUGGAUAGCGCGUAGCACUUCUAAUGCUAAGGUUGCGAGUUCGAGUCUCGCAAGGGGUA